rnacentral:rRNA from 1 species
UUAAGCAUAUCAAUAAGCGGAGGAAAAGAAACCAACAGGGAUUGCCUUUAGUAACGGCGAGUGAAGCGGCAACAGCUCAAAUUUGAAAGCUGGCUCCUUCGGAGUCCGCGUUGUAAUUUGUAGAGGAUGAUUCGGCGAGGGCUCCCGCCUAAGUCCCCUGGAACGGGGCGUCAUAGAGGGUGAGAAUCCCGUAUGCGGUGGGUUGCCUUAGCCAUGUGAAUCUCCUUCGACGAGUCGAGUUGUUUGGGAAUGCAGCUCUAAAUGGGAGGUAAAUUUCUUCUAAAGCUAAAUACCGGCCAGAGACCGAUAGCGCACAAGUAGAGUGAUCGAAAGAUGAAAAGCACUUUGGAAAGAGAGUUAAAAAGUACGUGAAAUUGUUGAAAGGGAAGCGCUUGCAGCCAGACUUGUCCGCAGUUGCUCAACCGGUCUCCUGACCGGUGUACUCUUCUGCGGCCAGGCCAGCAUCAGUUCGGGCGGUCGGAUAAAGGCCCUGGGAAUGUAGCUCCUCUCGGGGAGUGUUAUAGCCCAGGGUGGAAUGCGGCCAGCCUGGACUGAGGAUCUCGCUUCGGCUAGGAUGCUGGCGUAAUGGCUGUAAGCGGCCCGUCUUGAAACACGGACCAAGGAGUCUAACAUCUAUGCGAGUGUUUGGGUGUCAAACCCAUGCGCGUAAUGAAAGUGAACGGAGGUGGGAACCCUCACGGGUGCACCAUCGACCGAUCCUGAUGUCUUCGGAUGGAUUUGAGUAAGAGCAUAGCUGUUGGGACCCGAAAGAUGGUGAACUAUGCCUGAAUAGGGUGAAGCCAGAGGAAACUCUGGUGGAGGCUCGCAGCGGUUCUGACGUGCAAAUCGAUCGUCAAAUUUGGGUAUAGGGGCGAAAGACUAAUCGAACCAUCUAGUAGCUGGUUCCUGCCGAAU